ensembl:miRNA mdo-mir-7276 mdo-mir-7276
CCCUUCCUUCACUGCAGGUGAGCUGCGGAGCUGCAGCGGGGCCCCGCCCCAUUCCGCCCGUAAGCCCAGGGAGCAAGGUCG